AAUCUCGGCGUACCGCUCAGUAACACGUGGGUAACCUGCCCUAUGCUGGGGGAUAACCUCGGGAAACUGAGAAUAAUACCCCAUAGUUCACCACGCCUGGAACGGUGGGUGGAUGAAAGCUCCGGCGGCAUAGGAUGGGCCUGCGGCGUAUCAGGUUGUAGGGGGUGUAAUGUACCCUCUAGCCAUCUACGCGUACGGGUGUUGGGAGACAUCGCCCGGAGAUGGAUUCUGAGACACGAAUCCAGACCCUACGGGGUGCAGCAGGCGCGAAAACUUGGCAAUGCGAGCAAUCGUGACCAGGGAACUCCAAGUGCAUCGGGUAAGACCGAUGCUUUUCUUGACUCUUCAAAGGUCUUGGAGUAAGGGGUGGGUAAGGACGGUGCCAGCCGCCGCGGUAAUACCGGCGCCUCAAGUGGUAGUCGCUUUUAUUGGGCCUAAAACGUCCGUAGCCGGUUUGGUACAUUCGUGGGUAAAUCAAGGCGCUCAACGUCUUGAAUUCUGCGAGCAC
rnacentral:rRNA from 1 species